GAUGAACGCUGGCGGCGUGCCUAAUACAUGCAAGUCGAGCGAACAGACGAGGAGCUUGCUCCUCUGACGUUAGCGGCGGACGGGUGAGUAACACGUGGAUAACCUACCUAUAAGACUGGGAUAACUUCGGGAAACCGGAGCUAAUACCGGAUAAUAUAUUGAACCGCAUGGUUCAAUAGUGAAAGACGGUUUUGCUGUCACUUAUAGAUGGAUCCGCGCCGCAUUAGCUAGUUGGUAAGGUAACGGCUUACCAAGGCGACGAUGCGUAGCCGACCUGAGAGGGUGAUCGGCCACACUGGAACUGAGACACGGUCCAGACUCCUACGGGAGGCAGCAGUAGGGAAUCUUACGCAAUGGGCGAGAGCCUGACGGAGCAACGCCGCGUGAGUGAUGAAGGUCUUCGGAUCGUAAAACUCUGUUAUUAGGGAAGAACAAAUGUGUAAGUAACUAUGCACGUCUUGACGGUACCUAAUCAGAAAGCCACGGCUAACUACGUG
rnacentral:rRNA from 1 species